CAAUAGCGUAUAUUAAAGUUGUUGCGGUUAAAAAGCUCGUAGUUGGAUUUCUGCUGAGGACGACCGGUCCGCCCUCCGGGUGAGCAUCUGGUUCGGCCUUGGCAUCUUCUUGGUGAACGUAUCUGCACUUGACUGUGUGGUGCGGUACCCAGGACUUUUACUUUGAGGAAAUUAGAGUGUUUCAAGCAGGCAUACGCCUUGAAUACAUUAGCAUGGAAUAAUAAGAUAGGACCUCGGUUCUAUUUUGUUGGUUUGCGGAUCGAGGUAAUGAUUAAUAGGGAUAGUUGGGGGGUAUUCAUAUUUAAUUGUCAGAGGUGAAAUUCUUGGAUUUAUGAAAGAUGAACUUAGGCGAAAGCAUUUACCAAGGAUGUUUUCAUUAAUCAAGAACGAAAGUUAGGGGAUCGAAGACGAUCAGAUACC
rnacentral:rRNA from 1 species